AGGUCAAGCUACGAAGAGCACAUGGUGGAUGCCUUGGCAUCGAGAGCCGAUGAAGGACGUGGUUACCGACGAAACGCUUCGGGGAGCUGGAAACGAGCUUUGAUCCGGAGAUAUCCGAAUGGGGAAACCCCGCAUGAGUAAUGUCAUGCGACUCCCGCCUGAAUAUAUAGGGCGGGUAGAGGGCACCCAGGGAACUGAAACAUCUUAGUACCUGGAGGAAGAGAAACUCCCUUAGUAGUGGCGAGCGAAAAGGGACCAGUCCAAACCUUCUCCGCGUGACAGGCGGUAGCCGUUUCGGAGGAGGUGUUGUGGGAGCCGCAGGUUGUUUCUACCGAAACGACAAAGAGUUACAAAGCCGUUGUUUAGCCGAGCGACCCUGGAAAGGUCGGCCACAGAGGGUGAUAGCCCCGUAGGCGAAAAGCAGACGGCCUCUUAGCGGAUUUCCCAAGUACCACGGGACACGCGGAAUCCCGUGGGAAUCUGCCCAGACCAUUGGGUAAGACUAAGUACUCUCGAUGACCGAUAGCGGACUAGUACCGUGAGGGAAUGGUGAAAAGUACCCCAGAAGGGGAGUGAAAGAGUACCUGAAACCGUGUGCUUACAAUCCGUGAAAGCACUAUGCCGAUUUAUCGGAAUGUGUGAUUGCGUGCCUUUUGUAGAAUGAGCCGACGAGUUACUUCUCUGUGGCAAGGUUAAGGGGUUUACACCCGGAGCCGAAGCGAAAGCGAGUCUGAAUAGGGCGUUCUGUAGUCGCAGGGAGUAGACCCGAAACCGAGUGACCUAUCCAUGGUCAGGCUGAAGCGUGGGUAAAACCACGUGGAGGGCCGAACCGACCCCGGUUGAAAACGCGGCGGAUGAACUGUGGAUAGCGGUGAAAUGCCAAUCGAACUCGGAUAUAGCUGGUUCUCCUCGAAAUGCAUUUAGGUGCAGCGUCGUCGAUGGGUCUGUUGUUGGUAGAGCACUGAAUGGGCUAGGGGCGAUCACCUCGUUACCAAACCCAACCAAACUCCGAAUGACAGCAGAUUUUCCGGCGGCAGUGAGACUGUGGGGGCUAAGCUUCAUAGUCGAAAGGGAAACAGCCCAGACCACCGGCUAAGGUCCCUAAUCGCAAGCUAAGUGCUGGUCGAGUGAUCUGGCGCCGACAAUGAUCGGGGCUCAAGUCAGGAGCCGAAGCUAGGGAUGACGGCGUAAGCCGUCGUGGUAGAGGAGCGUACUGCGUGCAGUGAAGCUGGACCGUGAGGACCAGUGGAGCGCGCGGAAGUGAGAAUGUCGGCACAAGUAGCGAGAAACGCGUGAGAAACGUGUUCGCCGUAAACCUAAGGUUUCCUGGGCAACGUUAAUCGUCCCAGGGUUAGCCGGGCACAACUGGUCAUAAUUCCAGUGCCACCAAAGUUCGUUAUGAGCGAUGGAGCGACGAAGAAGGAUAGGUGCAGCGGGCGAUUGGAUGUGCCCGUGUAAGCAGGUAGGCGGUCCCGUAGGAAAAUCCGCGGGGCAUAACGCCGAGAUGUGAUGCCGAGCCCUGGUAACAGGGUGAAGUGGCUGAUUCCAAGCUUCCAAGAAAACCUUCUAGCCAGAACUAGGUGCCCGUACCGCAAACCGACGCAGGUAGGUGGGAAGAGGAUUCCAAGGCGAUCGAGAGAAGUGUAGUUAAGGAACUCGGCAAAAUUCCUCCCUAACUUCGGGAGAAGGAGGGCCCCCUGGGGUGAUGGACAUACGUCCGGAGCUCUGGAGGGCCGCAGAGAAAAGGCCCAACCGACUGUUUACUAAAAACACAGGUCUCUGCUAAAGCGAAAGCUGAUGUAUAGGGGCUGACGCCUGCCCGGUGCCGGAAGGUUAAGGAGCGAUGUGCAAGCAUCAAACUGAAGCCCCGGUGAACGGCGGCCGUAACUAUCAACCGAGGUAGUUAUAAAACCUGGCCAUAUGCUGGAAUAACCGUCCUGAGAAAGGUAAGAAUCCCGCGGUAGAGCGCAAGCUCUGAAAAUCCGACGGGUGCGGUCAAUCAGCAGGAAAGGCUUCCCAAAGGUGGAAGAAUCCUCAGAGACUAGACGCCAGGCCCUUGCAAGAGGGAUGAGAUAGUCCGAUCUCACGGGCGACCGUGAGAGCUGGCAGAAAUGACCAGCCGCUCCGCGAGGAGUAGUAACAAGAAUGAACGGUCCUAAGGUGGAAUAGCUGCCUUAGUAAAAUCUGGCCAAAUGCUGGAAUAACCGAGAAUCCCUCACUACUCGCACCUGACAUGGGAACAGAUGUUUGGUACAGUAACAAUGUGGAGGGUGCGGUCAAUCAGCAGGAAAGGCCUUCCAUUGACGGCAUACCCGUUGAGCUAGGAAGCUUCUUAGCCGGCUUUGCGCUGGGUGAAGGAAGUUUCAUGGUCGUAUGUCGGCCUCGAGCCGACUACCCAGGGAGAUGGAAGAUCUCCGCGGCCUUCAACGUUUCGCAGUGCGACAAGACUCCAUUGGAGCUGUUNNNNNNNNNNNNNNNNNNNNNNNNNNNNNNNNNNNNNNNNNNNNNNNNNNNNNNNNNNNNNNNNNNNNNNNNNNNNNNNNNNNNNNNNNNNNNNNNNNNNNNNNNNNNNNNNNNNNNNNNNNNNNNNNNNNNNNNNNNNNNNNNNNNNNNNNNNNNNNNNNNNNNNNNNNNNNNNNNNNNNNNNNNNNNNNNNNNNNNNNNNGAAAUGGAAGGAAUCCUCAGAGACCACACGCCAGACCCUGGUUGACAGGUGAAGAUAUGGUCCCAUCUGCAUGGCGACAUGCAGGGAUGGUUUGGAACACCAUCCACUCGAUGUCAUUGAUCGAGUAAGGAAUUAAGCGAAAUUCCUUGUCGGGUAAGUUCCGACCCGCACGAAUGGCGUAACGAGUUGGGCGCUGUCUCGACUACACACUCGGCGAAACUGAAGUACCUGUGAAGAUACAGGUUACGCGCGGCAGGACGGAAAGACCCCGUGGAGCUUUACUGCAACUUGUCACUGGUCAGGGGCCUAGCAUGUAGAGGAUAGCUGGGAGACUGCGAAAUUCGGGCGCUAGCUCGGGUGGAGUCAACCUUGGAAUACCAGCCUUGUUAAAUCUUUGAUCUAACCAACACCGUUAUCCGGUGUUGGGACCGUGGCAGGCAGGCAGUUUGACUGGGGCGGUCGCCUCCCAAAAAGUAACGGAGGCGCCCAAAGGUUCCCUCAGCCUGGAUGGAAAUCAGGCUUUUGAGUGCAAUGGCAUAAGGGAGCUUAACUGUGAGACCUACAAGUCGAGCAGGUGCGAAAGCAGGGCAUAGUGAUCCGACGACUCAGUAUGGAAUGGUCGUCGCUCAACGGAUAAAAGCUACCCCGGGGAUAACAGGCUUAUCUUGCCCAAGAGUCAAACAGUGGCUCCCCACCCGAGUGAUCGGGUGGUGCUUCUGUGGCUCAUAUCGGUGAAGCCCUAGUGCACAAGUCGUGCACGGGUAAUACCGAGGGAAGGACGCUCACUGCAGACACGUCUGCAAGCUAAACCCAGGUUCGCCUGGGCAUGCUCUGUGAGCUGUCCCCCGUAACGACUUCUCGCAUAUUGCGAGAGAUGGAGGUCACUGUCCCUUACGGGGCAAAUCUACGGCCUUCAUAACACGCCACCGUCUCGAAAGAGAUAAAGGUAUAGUCUGCGCUUCGAGAAAUCGAAGAACAUUAGCGUCACAUCGACGGCAAGGUUUGGCACCUCGAUGUCGGCUCGUCGCAUCCUGGGGGUGUAGUCGCUCCCAAGGGUUGGGCUGUUCGCCCAUUAAAGCGGUACGCGAGCUGGGUUUAGAACGUCGUGAGACAGUUCGGUCCCUAUCCGCCGUGCGCGUAAGAGUCUUGAGAGGAGUUGACCUCAGUACGAGAGGACCGGGUUGAACGAACCUCUAGUGGACCGGUUGUUCCGCCAGGAGCACCGCCGGGUAGCCAUGUUCGGAUGGGAUAAGCGCUGAAAGCAUCUAAGUGCGAAGCCCACCUCAAGAUAAGGACUCUCACCGGGUUAACCGGGUAAGGCCCCAGCGAGACCAGCUGGUUGAUAGGCCGGAGGUGUAAGAAGGGUGACCUUUUAAGCUGACCGGUACUAAUAGGCCGAGGGCUUGGCCAUA
rnacentral:rRNA from 1 species